ensembl:lncRNA CCDC197 coiled-coil domain containing 197
UUGUGCUCCUGGAGCUGUAGCUUGCGGUGGUGAGGUGAUGGCAGCCAUGGACACAGGCCAGAGAGCUGACCCAAGCAAUCCUGGUGACAAGGAAGGGGACCUUCAAGGGCUGUGGCAGGAACUCUACCAGCUCCAGGCUAAAUACCUUCUUUGCUGCCUGGGAGAUGCUGCUAUGGGCGUUUAUUUGAUCUGCUUGUGGCUCAGUUUGCUCAGCAGUGAAAUGAAGGUGCAGAGACUCCUAAGUCUAUGGCCAACUGAUAAAGUGGCAGAAGAAGCUCAAGAGAGAAGUCGAGAAGCACAAGCUUUUUGAAGACUAUCUGAUUAAGGUCCUUGAGAAAAUCCCCGAGGGCUGCACGGGAUGGGAGGAGCCGGAGGAGGUGCUGGUGGAGGCCACGGUGAAGCACUACGGGAAGCUCUUCACAGCCAG